rnacentral:lncRNA from 1 species
GAAUGGCACAGUUCAAGGGAUGGCAUCUCCAGGGAUGGCACAGCACAGUUCUGCCCACUGCCCAUGGCAGGAAUCAGCCCCAAUUUGUGCCCAGAUCCAAGGGUGGCACAACAGAGUCCUGCCCAUUGAUGGUGGCAGGAAUCAGCCCCAGCUCCCUAGAGGAAGCUCCCAUUCCUCUUCACCCUCCUUCAGCACCACGGGAGCACAGAGCCACCUCCUGCCACUGCCACAUCCACCCCUGCCAGCCCGUGAGGGCCUCGGGGAGGUCCCCAGCGGCUCACACUCCCCAGUAUGGCCCAAGUCACUGAAAUCACCCUGACAUCAUGCUGAAAUCACCCCAAGAUCACCCUGAGAUCACCCUGAACUCGCCAUUCAGUCCGAGCGCAGCCCCCUUCCCUGCACCCACAGCACCCACAGCCCUCCCUCUGGCAUUCCCAGCUCCCACAGACAAGGACCCCGUCCCUUCUCCCGGCUGCCAGGCAGCAGCUGGAUCUGAGGAUUCACAGCAAUGUCCCAGCCACGUUCUGAGCAGGGGUUGGGGUUUGUGCUCACCCCAGAGCCCCUGCACUCUCUGGGGCUGUCCCUCCCGGCUGCCUUAUCUCCUCCCGUGUCCUGAUCCCGCAGGAUCCGGCCCAGGGGAGCUGGUUAAACAGCCCAAACCAACCACUGCCACCUUAAUUUCUACCCCAGCCUUUAAAAGCUCCUCCUGCCACCAGUGAGUGGCUCCACAGACACCGAGGUGACCCCGCUGGUGACCCUGGUGUCCCCCUGGCUGGGGAGGGAACCAGCAGGACCCAGGGAACCCCUCUGUGCCAGUGCAAUGAUAUUUUUGCUGCAAUUAUUUAUCCCCUGCCCCAUUCCAGGGCUCUUGGGAGGAGGUUCUUGCACGAUCCCAAUGCCGCCAAUUCGGCCACGGGCUCCGAGCUCUGCGAAACUCCGCGCCCCUGGCGCCACUGCAGCCUGGAAAGGUGACACACAGGAACCAGUCUGUGCCUUCUGCACCCGGCCCUGAGCACCCCAAACCACUGCCCCAGCAUUCCUGGCUGGGCCUGGCACUGCCCAGAUGGUCCUGGCACUGCCCAGCCAGGUCUGGCACUGCCUAGUUGCUCCUGGCACUGUCCAGCUGAGCCUAGUGCUACCCAGCUGGGUCUGGCACUGCCCAGCUGGCUCUGGCACUGCCCAGCCUUUCUUGGGACUGCCUGGCCAGUCCUGGUACUGCCCAUCCAUUCCUGGCACUGCCCAGCCAGGUCUGGUAGUGCCCAUCUAUUCCUAGCCACUCCUGGCACUGCCAUUCCAUCACUUCCCAGCCACUCCUGGCACUGCCCAGCUGAGCCUCCUACUGCCCAGCCAAUCCUGGCACUGCCCAGCCUUUCUUGGCACUGCCCAGCCAUUCCUAGCACUGACCAGCUGGUCCUGGCACUGCCCAGCUGCAUCUGGUACUGACCAGCUGGGUCUGGCAUUGCCUAGUUGGGCCUGGCACUGACCAGCUGGUCCUGGCACUGUCCAGCUAAGCCUAGUACUGCCCAGCCAUACCUGGUACUACCCAAACAGUCCUGGCACUGCCCAGCCGGGCCUGGCACUGCCCAGCCUUUCUUGGCACUCUGCCCAGC